UUUUUAUGGAGAGUUUGAUCCUGGCUCAGGAUGAACGCUGGCGGCGUGCCUAAUACAUGCAAGUCGAGCGAACGGACGAGAAGCUUGCUUCUCUGAUGUUAGCGGCGGACGGGUGAGUAACACGUGGAUAACCUACCUAUAAGACUGGGAUAACUUCGGGAAACCGGAGCUAAUACCGGAUAAUAUUUUGAACCGCAUGGUUCAAAAGUGAAAGACGGUCUUGCUGUCACUUAUAGAUGGAUCCGCGCUGCAUUAGCUAGUUGGUAAGGUAACGGCUUACCAAGGCAACGAUGCAUAGCCGACCUGAGAGGGUGAUCGGCCACACUGGAACUGAGACACGGUCCAGACUCCUACGGGAGGCAGCAGUAGGGAAUCUUCCGCAAUGGGCGAAAGCCUGACGGAGCGACGCCGCGUGAGUGAUGAAGGUCUUCGGAUCGUAAAACUCUGUUAUUAGGGAAGAACAUAUGUGUAAGUAACUGUGCACAUCUUGACGGUACCUAAUCAGAAAGCCACGGCUAACUACGUGCCAGCAGCCGCGGUAAUACGUAGGUGGCAAGCGUUAUCCGGAAUUAUUGGGCGUAAAGCGCGCGUAGGCGGUUUUUUAAGUCUGAUGUGAAAGCCCACGGCUCAACCGUGGAGGGUCAUUGGAAACUGGAAAACUUGAGUGCAGAAGAGGAAAGUGGAAUUCCAUGUGUAGCGGUGAAAUGCGCAGAGAUAUGGAGGAACACCAGUGGCGAAGGCGACUUUCUGGUCUGUAACUGACGCUGAUGUGCGAAAGCGUGGGGAUCAAACAGGAUUAGAUACCCUGGUAGUCCACGCCGUAAACGAUGAGUGCUAAGUGUUAGGGGGUUUCCGCCCCUUAGUGCUGCAGCUAACGCAUUAAGCACUCCGCCUGGGGAGUACGACCGCAAGGUUGAAACUCAAAGGAAUUGACGGGGACCCGCACAAGCGGUGGAGCAUGUGGUUUAAUUCGAAGCAACGCGAAGAACCUUACCAAAUCUUGACAUCCUUUGACAACUCUAGAGAUAGAGCCUUCCCCUUCGGGGGACAAAGUGACAGGUGGUGCAUGGUUGUCGUCAGCUCGUGUCGUGAGAUGUUGGGUUAAGUCCCGCAACGAGCGCAACCCUUAAGCUUAGUUGCCAUCAUUAAGUUGGGCACUCUAAGUUGACUGCCGGUGACAAACCGGAGGAAGGUGGGGAUGACGUCAAAUCAUCAUGCCCCUUAUGAUUUGGGCUACACACGUGCUACAAUGGACAAUACAAAGGGCAGCGAAACCGCGAGGUCAAGCAAAUCCCAUAAAGUUGUUCUCAGUUCGGAUUGUAGUCUGCAACUCGACUACAUGAAGCUGGAAUCGCUAGUAAUCGUAGAUCAGCAUGCUACGGUGAAUACGUUCCCGGGUCUUGUACACACCGCCCGUCACACCACGAGAGUUUGUAACACCCGAAGCCGGUGGAGUAACCUUUUAGGAGCUAGCCGUCGAAGGUGGGACAAAUGAUUGGGGUGAAGUCGUAACAAGGUAGCCGUAUCGGAAGGUGCGGCUGGAUCACCUCCUUUCU
rnacentral:rRNA from 1 species